UACAGAGGUCCCAAGCGUUGUUCGGAUUUACUGGGCGUAAAGGGUGCGUAGGUGGCGAGGUAAGUUCGAUGUGAAAUCUCCGAGCUCAACUCGGAAAUGGCAUUGAAUACUAUCCCGCUUGAGGGUCGGAGGGAGACGUGGAAUUCUCGGUGUAGCAGUGAAAUGCGUAGAUAUCGAGAGGAACACCAGUGGCGAAGGCGAGUCUCUGGACGACUCCUGACACUGAGGCACGAAGGCCAGGGAGCAACGGG
rnacentral:rRNA from 1 species